CAUGCGGAGGGUAGACUUUGUAGCGGAAUUCCCUCCUGGAGUUUACUGGGCAGCUCAUUCUUUGAUGCACCUCAUUUCACCCUAUAGGUGGUACCAGUCCACAACCAAACGUGCUUUGAGAGUAAAGUCCUCUCCAACAUGCCACUUCUAUCUGGGGAUUAGUUCGUUGGCCUUAGGUGGCAUCAUUGGCACCAGGGGCUUACCCUCCCUUUCCACCUGGAUGUGGCUCCCACCCGCACACAGAGGACAUAUUCCAGUCCCAGCUCCCCUUUCUCCCCCCCAAGACAAGUUUUUCACUGUGAGCUGCUUCCUCUUUGGAGCUAUACAAUGCUUCUGUCUGUGGAAGGAUCGGCCAGGGUUGGUAUCGUCUUCCUGGAUUCAUCCCUCUUCAAGAGAGACCCUGGGUGGCACCAGCCGAGAGUGCUCUGUGCUGCCACCUGGUGUCUGAUGCCCUCGCUACACUGCUGUCUCGGAGAUGGGAUGGGUUGGCAGCUCAGCGGGCCAGGAGAGAGGAAAAGAGACCAUAGGGCACCAGGCUGUGAUGGAAGAACGUUUGAAGGAAGAAGACUAAAGGAAGGUGAAGAACCCAGGGAGACAGAUGCUCUGGCUUCCAGAGGCAACCCCACCCCCCAUCUCAGAAGCCCCCGGGAGGUUCCAAGCCUGCUCUCUCCCCAUCCCCACUUCCCCAAGAUAACCGGGCACCGUUCAAAGAGCCAGCAGCUGCCUCUCUUCUACUUUCAAACCCUUGCAAGGAGAAACGCCAGAAAACGAUGACGAGGUUAAAGGAGAAAAUAAGUUACAUGACAGUUUCCAAAAUGGUUUUCGUUUUCCGCUGAAGAUGGGCCACCGUUCGGUUGUAAUACACACACGGUCCCAGCUUGUGCUUUACAAGAAGAGGGAAC